rnacentral:misc_RNA from 1 species
GUUUUUUAUAAACUUUUUAUUUAUUUCAACAUUCUAGACAUUUGGUUGUGAAAAAAUGACAUAGACCUUUCAAAGGGAAAGCCGACCUCUUUUUUUGAAGCACAGCAGUCCCCACUCGGAACGAAUUCCAUCCCCUCCCAAGGUCUACAAAAUACGUGCACAGUUGGAGAAAUGAUAAAGAUGACAAGCGUGCACAUGUCCCGAGAGACCAGCAACAGCCUGUUCAAGUUUAUUCGAUAAUGAUCCUUCCGCAGGUUCACCUACGGAAA